UACGGGGGGGGCAAGCGUUGUUCGGAAUUACUGGGCGUAAAGGGCUCGUAGGUGGCCAACUAAGUCAGACGUGAAAUCCCUCGGCUUAACCGGGGAACUGCGUCUGAUACUGGAUGGCUUGAGUUUGGGAGAGGGAUGCGGAAUUCCAGGUGUAGCGGUGAAAUGCGUAGAUAUCUGGAGGAACACCGGUGGCGAAGGCGGCAUCCUGGACCAACACUGACACUGAGGUGCGAAAGCAUGGGGAGCAAACAGG
rnacentral:rRNA from 1 species